UGAACGCUAGCUACAGGCUUAACACAUGCAAGUUGAGGGGCAGCAUGGUCUUAGCUUGCUAAGGCCGAUGGCGACCGGCGCACGGGUGAGUAACACGUAUCCAACCUGCCGUCUACUCUUGGACAGCCUUCUGAAAGGAAGAUUAAUACAAGAUGGCAUCAUGAGUCCGCAUGUUCACAUGAUUAAAGGUAUUCCGGUAGACGAUGGGGAUGCGUUCCAUUAGAUAGUAGGCGGGGUAACGGCCCACCUAGUCUUCGAUGGAUAGGGGUUCUGAGAGGAAGGUCCCCCACAUUGGAACUGAGACACGGUCCAAACUCCUACGGGAGGCAGCAGUGAGGAAUAUUGGUCAAUGGGCGAGAGCCUGAACCAGCCAAGUAGCGUGAAGGAUGACUGCCCUAUGGGUUGUAAACUUCUUUUAUACGGGAAUAAAGUUAGCCACGUGUGGCUUUUGUAUGUACCGUAUGAAUAAGGAUCGGCUAACUCCGUG
rnacentral:rRNA from 1 species